rnacentral:tRNA from 1 species
GUCUUUGUAGUACAUUAAAUACACUGGUCUUGUAAACCAGAAAAGGAGCAUAACUAACCUCCCUAAGACU